rnacentral:tRNA from 1 species
GCUAGAGUGGCAGAGCCCGGACAUUGCGAAAGGCCUAAGCCCUUUCUACAGAGGUUCAAGUCCUCUCCCCAGCU